rnacentral:rRNA from 1 species
UACGGGAGGCAGCAGUGAGAGAUAUUGCACAAUGGAGGAAACUCUGAUGCAGCGAUGCCGCGUGGAGGAAGAAGGUUUUCGGAUUGUAAACUCCUGUUUCGAGGGACGAUAAUGACGGUACCUCGGGAGGAAGCUCCGGCUAACUACGUGCCAGCAGCCGCGGUAAU